rnacentral:rRNA from 1 species
UACGUAGGUGGCAAGCGUUUGUCCGGAUUUAUUGGGUUUAAAGGGUGCGUAGGCGGUCUUUUUAAGUCAGUGCUGAAAUACUCCAGCUUAACUGGAGGGGUGGCAUUGAUACUGGAAGACUUGAGUGCAGUCGAAGUAGGCGGAAUUGACGGUGUAGCGGUGAAAUGCAUAGAUAUGUCACAGAACACCGAUUGCGAAGGCAGCUUACUAUGGUGUCAUUGACGCUGAGGCACGAAAGCGUGGGGAUCAAACAGG